CGGAGAAAACAGCAUCUGUGGACACACCUGUGUGAGAGCCGCAAAGAAACGGGCUGAAUCCCUAAAAUACUGAGCAAGAGAAGGUACUUUAACUAAAAUCCAGUGUCCACACUGAAGAUCAGGAGCUUACUCCAGACACAGACAGUCCAGUGAAGCUCCCCUGAAGUUGGCAGUUUUGACCACCUGGAAUCAAGUAAACAAAUUGCUCAUGGAGUGCCACUGGUCUCCACGCUAAUACAAGGCAUAUUGAAAGCAACUGAGGAAUCUCAGCUGUCUGUGGGAAAGACCAAAAAGGGUAUAAUUUCAUUUAAUGGUUGCAAAAAUGAGAAAAAUAAAUGGAAGUAGGAAAAAACAUGCCUAGAUAUCCCCCACAGUAUCCUUGUGGUCCAGCCAUACUUUACAAGGUGCUGCUUCUGAAGAUUGUAAACAUUAUCCC